rnacentral:rRNA from 1 species
AUUGAACGCUGGCGGCAGGCCUAACACAUGCAAGUCGAGCGGAGCGGCGGACGGGUGAGUAAUGCCUAGGAUUCUGCCUGGUAGUGGCGGAUCACGUCCGGAAACGGGUGCUAAUACCGUAUACUCUCAGUUGAGCCGUGGUCGGAUUCUCUAGUUGGUGGGGUAGAGGCCUACCAAGGCGCUGAUCCGUACCUGGUCUGAGAGGAUGACCAGUCACACGGAAACUGAGGCACGGUCCAGACUCCGACGGGAGUCAGCGGUGGGGAAUAUUGGACAAUGGGAGAAAGCCUGAUCCAGUCAUGCCGCGUGUGUGAAGAAGGUCUUCGGAUUGUAAAGCACUUUAAGUUGGGAGGCGUUACCAACAGAAUAAGCACCGGCUAACUUCGUGCCAGCAGCCGCGGUAAUAC